GGUGAACGCUGGCGGCGUGCUUAAGACAUGCAAGUCGAACGAGCGUCUUCGGACUGUAGUGGCGCACGGGUGAGUAACGCGUAACUGACCUGCCCCCGAGUUCCGAAUAACCCUCCGAAAUGAGGGCUAAUACGGGAUGUUCUGUCCCCUCCUUUUGGGCCUGUAAAGGCUUGACCGCUUGGGGGUGGGGUUGCGUUCCAUCAGCUAGAUGGUGUGGUAAAGGCCUACCAUGGCAACGACGGAGAACCGGCCUGAGAGGGUGGCCGGUCAGAGGGGCAGUGCGACACGGGGCGGACGCCUACGGGAGGCAGCAGUUAGGAAUCUGCCGAAAUGGAAGACAGUCUGAGGGAGCGACGCAGGGUGAGGGAUGAAGGGUUUCGGAUCGUAGACCUCUGAAUCAGGGACGCAAGACGCGGAAGGGGGAUGAGGGGACGUGAGUAAGAGCGCCGGCUAACUACGUG
rnacentral:rRNA from 1 species